rnacentral:rRNA from 1 species
AGAGUUUGAUCCUGGCUCAGAAUCAACGCUGGCGGCGCGCUUAACACAUGCAAGUCGCACGAGAAAGUGGAGCAAUCCAUGAGUAAAGUGGCGUACGGGUGAGUAACACGUGGAUCAUCUACCUCUUGGUGGGGAAUAACCUUGGGAAACCGGGGCUAAUACCGCAUAAGCCUGAAAAGGGAAAGCAGCAAUGCGCCGAGAGAGGAGUCCGCGGCCGAUUAGCUAGUUGGUAGGGUAAUGGCCUACCAAGGCAAUGAUCGGUAGCCGGCCUGAGAGGGCACACGGCCACACUGGCACUGAAACACGGGCCAGACUCCUACGGGAGGCAGCAGUGGGGAAUCUUGCACAAUGGGGGAAACCCUGAUGCAGCGACGCCGCGUGAGCGAUGAAGCCCUUCGGGGUGUAAAGCUCUUUCGGCAGGAACGAUAAUGACGGUACCUGAAGAAGAAGCUGCGGCUAACUACGUGCCAGCAGCCGCGGUAAUACGUAGGCAGCAAGCGUUGUUCGGAGUUACUGGGCGUAAAGAGUGUGUAGGCGGUUCUCUAAGUUCGGUGUGAAAUCUCCCGGCUCAACUGGGAGGGUGCGCCGGAAACUGGAGGGCUUGAGUAUGGGAGAGGAAAGCGGAAUUCCUGGUGUAGCGGUGAAAUGCGUAGAUAUCAGGAGGAACACCUGCGGUGUAGACAGCUUUCUGGACCAUCACUGACGCUGAGACACGAAAGCGUGGGUAGCAAACAGGAUUAGAUACCCCUGUAGUCC